UGAGUAAUGCAUCGGAACGUGGCCCGAGUUCGUGGGGGGAUAACGCAGCGAAAGCUGCGCUAAUACCGCAUACGAUCUGAGGAUGAAAAGCGGGGGGACCCGUUAAAGGGCCUCGCGCGAUCGGAGCGGCCGAUGUCAGAUUAGGUAGUUGGUGGGGUAAAGGCUCACCAAGCCGACGAUCUGUAGCUGGUCUGAGAGGACGACCAGCCACACUGGGACUGAGACACGGCCCAGACUCCUACGGGAGGCAGCAGUGGGGAAUUUUGGACAAUGGGCGCAAGCCUGAUCCAGCAAUGCCGCGUGCAGGAAGAAGGCCUUCGGGUUGUAAACUGCUUUUGUACGGAGCGAAAAGGCCCUCUCUAAUACAGGGGGUUCAUGACGGUACCGUAAGAAUAAGCACCGGCUAACUACGUG
rnacentral:rRNA from 1 species